rnacentral:ncRNA from 1 species
AGUUCUGAUGCACCGCGAAUCGAAUUUGCAGGUGGAGAACGAGGAGACAAUCGAGGCACAAAGUGCCCGGACCCCAAAGCGCUGUUGGACGGAAUCCAACAGCGCUUUUUC